rnacentral:rRNA from 1 species
GACGAACGCUGGCGGCGUGCUUAACACAUGCAGGUCGAACGGAAAGGCCCUGCUUUUGUGGGGGGCUCGAGUGGCGAACGGGUGGGUAACAAGUGAGUAACCUGCCCUCGACUUUGGGAUAACUUCAGGAAACUGGGGCUAAAACCGGAUAGGAGCUCCUGCGGCACGGUGGGGGUUGGGGAGUUUCGGCGGUUGGGGAUGGACUGGCGGCUGAUCAGCUUGUUGGCGGGGUGGUGGCUUACCAAGGCUUUGACGGGUAGCCGGCCUGAGAGGGUGACCGGCCACGUUGGGACUGAGAUAGGGCCCAGAAGCGUACGGUAGGGCGCAGUGGGGAAUAGUGUGAUGUGGGGGGAAGGCUUAUGCGGUGACGCCGCGUGCGGGGUGAAGUCCUUUGGGUGGUGAACCGCGUCCGCCUGUGUCGAAGCGGGAGGGACGGAGAUGGGUAAAGAAGCACCGGCUAACUACGUG